rnacentral:rRNA from 1 species
GACGAACGCUGGCAGCGUGCUUAACACAAGCAAGUUAAACGAAGUGGCGGAUCGGCGAGUAACACGUGAGGAACCUGCCUUUCACAGGGGAAUAACACUGGAAAACCAGUGCUAAUCCCGCAUAGUGAAAGAUUGCCUCGCGCCUGAUUAGCAAGUAGGUGAGGUAACGGCUCACAUAGGUGAUGAUCAGUAGCAGGACUGAGUGGAGAUCGCACGAAAUGAAACUGGGAUACGGCCCAGACGCCAACGGGAGGCAGAAGUGGGGAAUAAUGGGCAAGGGGGCAAGGCUGACCCAGCAACGGCGCGGGAAGGAAGACGGGCUUCGGAUUGUAAAGUUAUUUAGACAGCGAAGAGGUACCUGUAGAAUGAGCCACGGCUAACUACGUGCCAGCCGCCGGGGUAAUAC